CACUGCCGAGAAAAGCCUCUAGAUAGAAAAUAGGUGCCCGUACCGCAAACCGACACAGGUAGUCAAGAUGAGAAUUCUAAGGUGAGCGAGCGAACUCUCGUUAAGGAACUCGGCAAAAUGACCCCGUAACUUCGGGAGAAGGGGUGCUCUUUAGGGUUAACGCCCAGAAGAGCCGCAGUGAAUAGGCCCAAGCGACUGUUUAUCAAAAACACAGGUCUCUGCUAAACCGUAAGGUGAUGUAUAGGGGCUGACGCCUGCCCGGUGCUGGAAGGUUAAGAGGAGUGGUUAGCUUCUGCGAAGCUACGAAUCGAAGCCCCAGUAAACGGCGGCCGUAACUAUAACGGUCCUAAGGUAGCGAAAUUCCUUGUCGGGUAAGUUCCGACCCGCACGAAAGGCGUAACGAUUUGGGCACUGUCUCAACGAGAGACUCGGUGAAAUCAUAGUACCUGUGAAGAUGCAGGUUACCCGCGACAGGACGGAAAGACCCCGUGGAGCUUUACUGUAGCCUGAUAUUGAAAUUCGGCACAGCUUGUACAGGAUAGGUAGGAGCCUUUGAAACGUGAGCGCUAGCUUACG
rnacentral:rRNA from 1 species